GACGAACGCUGGCGGCGUGCUUAAUACAUGCAAGUCGAGCGGAGCUUAUGAUGAAGCUUGCGAUUCAUAAGUCGAGCGGCGGACGGGUGAGUAACGCGUGGGCAAUCUGCCCUCUAGCCUGGGAUAACAGUUCGAAAGGACUGCUAACACCGGAUAUUCUUGUUUGGUGGCAUCAUUGGACAAGGAAAGUUUACACUAGAGGAUGAGCCCGCGUCCCAUUAGCUAGUUGGUGAGGUAAUGGCCCACCAAGGCGACGAUGGGUAGCCGACCUGAGAGGGUGAACGGCCACACUGGGACUGAGACACGGCCCAGACUCCUACGGGAGGCUG
rnacentral:rRNA from 1 species